rnacentral:tRNA from 1 species
GCCGCCGGGCGCCGCCUUGCGCGAUUUGGCUGAUCCAGAUGCAGUGAACCGGCGUCGAUGAAUUCUGGUGGGGCGUUUCCACCUGGCGGCGCCA